AUGGCAGGUGACGUCAGCGCAGCGGGAGGGCCAGGAGGCUCCAGAGCCUGGAAUAGGAGGCCGUGGCUGCUUCUAUGGAGGCUACGGCAGUGGCAUUCGGGACUGGGGCUGUGGCCAUGGCUGGAGCCAAGGCCGAGGCAGUGGAGCUUACAGACACAAGGCCGAGGACAAGGAGUGGAUGUCUGUCACCAAGCUGGGCCACCUGGUCAAGGACAUGAAGAUCAAAUCCCUAGAGGAGAUCUAUCUCUUCUGCCUGCCCAUUGAGGAGUCUGAGAUCAUUGACUUUUUCCUGGGGGGGGGGCACUCCUGAGGAUGAGGUUUUGAAGAUUAUGCCGGUGCCAAAGCAGACCCAUGCUGGCCAGCAGACCAGGCUCAAGGUGUUUGUUGCCAUCGGGGACUACAAUGGCCACCACGCCAGUCUGGGCAUUAAGUGCUCCAGGGAGGUAGCUACUGCCAUCUGAGGGACCAUCAUCCUGGUCAAGCUCUCCACUGUCCACGUGUGGAGAGGAUACUGGGGGAACAAGAUCAGCAAGCCCCACACCAUUCCUUGCAAGGUGACAGGCUGCUGCGGCUCUGUGCUGGUACGUCUCAUCCCUGUCCCUAGAGUGAACUGGCAGCGUCUCAGCCCCUGUGCCCAAGAAGCUGCUGCUGGUGGCUGGUUAUCAAUGACCGCUACACCUCAGCCAGGGGCUGCACUGCCGCCCUAGGCAACCUCGCCAAGGCCACUCUUGACACCAUCUCCAAGACCUACAGCUAUCUGACUCCAGACCUCUGGAAAGAGACAAUAUUUACCAAGUCUGCCCACCAGGAAUUCACUGACCAUCCUGUCAAGACUCACGCCAGAGUCUCCGUGCAGAGGACUCAGGCUCCCGCUGUGGCUACAACAUAGCAUUUUUAUACAAGAAAAAUAAAGUGAAUUAAGC